UUUACAAUGUAGAGUUUGAUCCUGGCUCAGGAUGAACGCUAGCUACAGGCUUAACACAUGCAAGUCGCGGGGCAGCAUGAAUUUAGCUUGCUAAAUUUGAUGGCGACCGGCGCACGGGUGAGUAACGCGUAUCCAACCUUCCCCUGUCCACGGGAUAGCCCGUCGAAAGGCGGAUUAAUACCGUAUGAGGUCACAUGACGGCAUCAGAGUGUGACGAAAGGUUUUGCGGACAGGGAUGGGGAUGCGUCCGAUUAGCUUGUUGGCGGGGUAACGGCCCACCAAGGCAACGAUCGGUAGGGGUUCUGAGAGGAAGGUCCCCCACAUUGGAACUGAGACACGGUCCAAACUCCUACGGGAGGCAGCAGUGAGGAAUAUUGGUCAAUGGGCGAGAGCCUGAACCAGCCAAGUAGCGUGCAGGAUGACGGCCCUAUGGGUUGUAAACUGCUUUUAUGCGGGGAUAACGUGCACCACGUGUGGUGUAUUGCAGGUACCGCAUGAAUAAGGACCGGCUAAUUCCGUGCCAGCAGCCGCGGUAAUACGGAAGGUCCGGGCGUUAUCCGGAUUUAUUGGGUUUAAAGGGAGCGUAGGCCGCUGUUUAAG
rnacentral:rRNA from 1 species